rnacentral:sRNA from 1 species
UCUGCUUUGGGGUGCAUAUUUUGGAAAACCAUAGAGCCGAAUUGUAGGAGCCGGUUUUAAACACUAAUACUGACCACUGUACCAGGUACGCCUGUACUGAUCUGUCUGUCUCUUGUUUUACCUACACACGUGAACACUUACCCAGUCUUGCAGGACGAAUAAUAAUGGACGUUGAUUAUAAUAUUUCUAAAUACUGAACCAUCGACGAUCAUCACAUCCUGAACACGAAUCUACACAGGACUCAUCCACAAACACGUUAAAGAUACACAGAAAGCGAGUAGUAGGUUCGAUACACAAAUAUAUACGAUACAUUUGAUGUAUUCAUCAUGCUGAUACAAGUUGGUGCAUAAUACUUAUACACGUUGGAAAUACACAGAA